UACGUAGGGCGCGAGCGUUUGUCCGGAAUUAUUGGGCGUAAAGAGCUCGUAGGCGGCUGGUUGCGUCUGCUGUGAAAUCCCGGGGCUUAACCCCGGGCGUGCAGUGGAUACGGGCCGGCUGGAGGCAGGCAGGGGAGAAUGGAAUUCCCGGUGUAGCGGUGAAAUGCGCAGAUAUCGGGAGGAACACCGGUGGCGAAGGCGGUUCUCUGGGCCUGUACUGACGCUGAGGAGCGAAAGCGUGGGGAGCGAACAGG
rnacentral:rRNA from 1 species